CCGCGANUAGCUCAUUACAAUAGCCGUUGUUUCUUGGAUCCUCAAUUUACUUGGAUACCUGUGGUAAUUCUAGAGCUAAUACAUGCGACUAAGGGCCGAACUCACGUGACGCUUGCAUUUAUUAGAUCAAGACUAACCGGCUUCGGCCGUUAACUUGGUGACUCUGAAUAACUCAGCUGAUCGCACGGUCUAGUGCCGGCGACAUAUCUUUCAAGUGUCUACCUUAUCAACUGUCGAUGGUAGUUUAUGUGACUACCAUGGUUGUAACGGGUAACGGAGAAUCAGGGUUUGACUCCGGAGAGGGAGCCUGAGAAACGGCUACCACUUCUAAGGAAGGCAGCAGGCGCGCAAAUUACACAAUCUCAGCACGAGGAUGUAGUGACGAAACAUACCGAGGCGAUGCCCUUUCGGGUGUCGUCAUUGGAAUGAGUCGAAUCUAAAAAAUUCGGCAAGGAUCUAGUGGAGGGCAAGUCUGGUGCCAGCAGCCGCGGUAAUUCCAGCUCCGCAAGUGUAUAUCUAUGCUGUUGCGGUUAAAAAGCUCGUAGUUUGAUUCGCGUACUUAGCACGCAGUGUGGCCUUUCGGCUACUACUGUGAUGCGGUACAUUAUCGUCAGUUUGUCGUUGAUGCUCUUCAUUGGGUGUCAGCGGCGGCUGUCAAGUUUACUUUGAACAAAUUAAAGUGCUCAAUACAGGCGUUUCGCUUGUAUAGUUCUGCAUGGAAUAAUAGAAUAGGACUUACGUUCUAUUGUGUUGGUUUUCAGAACGAAAGUAAUGAUUAAGAGGGACAGACGGGGUCAUUCGUACUGCCACGUUAGAGGUGAAAUUCUUGGAUCGUGGCAAGACGAACUACUGCGAAAGCAUUUGACAAGAAUGUUUUCAUUAAUCAAGAACGAAAGUUAUGGGUC
rnacentral:rRNA from 1 species